CUAUUAAAUUGGUACAGGUGAGGAGAAGAUGAGCAGGGAGGCGGACGCAUGCAUACAUUUACUGGCUUCAUCAAAGCCUCCCUAUUUACGAUGGCUAAGUGGGAUUUACAUCCACUGAGAGGAUGUCAGGAACAGGAUUUUUUUGUAAAGGAGAAGCUGGCAAGUACCAGAGGAUGGAGUGCCAUGCCUGCCACAAGGAAUCUGGAGAAGCAUAUCCACUCUCUUGACCCCUCCCCACGGCCUUAUUCCUCAAGGGAGAACGGAAACCUUCCAUCAUAUGGCACUGUUUAUAAAUAGGAGUGAGUCUCUGCAAUACAUAGGUGGCCUAUUUGAGGAGCUGGAGUUUGUACACAGCACUCCAAAUGUUGGCGGGUACGCUGUGAGGCCGGUUGCCAAGAGACAUUUUCUCAGCCCCUCCUCCUUCCCUUCUUCUUCACUAGGAAUGGCUGCCAGGAAUAUCUCUUUAGAUUAGGACUCAGAAUAACCAUUUGGCUUUAUUUGAGGAGCAUAAUAAAUGGAUGAAUAAUUUAUGGAAGAUGGAAUUG
rnacentral:lncRNA from 1 species